rnacentral:lncRNA from 1 species
CAGGCGCCUGUAAUCCCAGCUACUCGGGAGACUGAGUUAUGAGAAUCGCUUGAACCUGGGAAGCAGAGGUUGCAGUGAGCUGAGAUUAUGCCACUGCACUCCAGCCUGGGCGACAGAGCAAGACCCUGUCUCAAAAAAAAAAAAAAAAAAAAAAAAGAUUUGAUGACUUGGCAUUCUCCAUUGGCAUCCAAUUUUAACAGGGUCUAACCAACAUUAUAAGAGGCUUUAGAAAGGAGAUGAUGCUUCCUAACACAAGGUAAACUCAAAAUGGGCUACCCUAUUGUUUCUCCCAAUUCAUAAGAAGGCAAACUAGACUAAUAAUUUUAUAGAAAGAAUAUCUGUUUUUAU